GUGGCGGUUAGCUCAGUUGGUUAGGCGUGGUGCUAAUAACGCCAAGGUCGCGGGUUGAUCCCGUCUGGGCCA
rnacentral:tRNA from 1 species